GUGAAUGAUGAUAUGCACUGGGCUCUGAGCAGUUUUAACUGCACUUUUGAUGGAAAUGCACAGCCUAGAAAGCUAUGUCUGACUA
rfam:Glycine soja cultivar W05 scaffold1660_173, whole genome shotgun sequence.